GGGAGACCUAGUCUCCUAUGAUGUUGUCUGGUCACUGCUACUACUGAAUCUGUUUGGCUUUGAAGGACAGCAAUACUCUGGAAAUAUCAGCUCCCAUUUACUGUUUACUCUGAGCGAGGCACUCUACUGUCCUUGUUUCACCCAGCCCUUGUGACAACUGUGGGAGAGGGUCCGCUGGGAGCUUUACAGGCGAGAGAGCAAGGCUGGGAACUCACUGCCAUCUGCUCAUCCACAUGGCCAGAAGUACUGGAGGCAGACCGUGAAUCCAGUUGGUUUCCAGAGCCCAAGUUUUCAACUACUCUGCUGAGAAGUUUAGAUAAAACUAAGUUGGAAGAAUGGAAGAACUGAAGAGCAAGAGAAAGAACUUUCGCUCAGGUGGGGACUGCGACAGGGACAGCCACUGCAUUCUCUUCUCUAAAGGACUAUGAAGGUUGAGAGUAAGACUCUGUGUUGGACAUUUUAGGCACCUUGACAUUUUCCUGGCAGUGCGACACUUUGAUGAGGUGUAGGGACUGGGAAUUUGUUAUAUAAAUAGAAGUUGUUGUUAGAUACUUUAAUUUGGUGUCUACUUGACACAAGACAUUGUUGUCCAUGUUCUUUGAAUAAAAAUGCAAACAGA